CCCUACGGGGGGCAGCAGUGGGGAAUCUUGCGCAAUGGGCGAAAGCCUGACGCAGCGACGCCGCGUGAGUGAUGAAGGCCUUCGGGUUGUAAAGCUCUGUGGAGGGGGACGAAUAAGUCGGAUCGAAUAUAUCCGAUGAUGACGGUACCCUUUUAGCAAGCACCGGCUAACUCUGUGCCAGCAGCCGCGGUAAGACAGAGGGUGCAAACGUUGUUCGGAAUUACUGGGCGUAAAGCGCGUGUAGGCUGCCUCGCAAGUCGGAUGUGAAAGCCCUGGGCUCAACCUAGGAAGUGCAUUCGAUACUGCGAGGCUGGAGUCCUGGAGAGGAAGGCGGAAUUCUCGGUGUAGAGGUGAAAUUCGUAGAUAUCGAGAGGAACACCGGUGGCGAAGGCGGCCUUCUGGACAGUGACUGACGCUGAGACGCGAAAGCGUGGGGAGCAAACAGGAUUAGAAACCCGAGUAGUCC
rnacentral:rRNA from 1 species